GAUGAACGCUGGCGGCGCGCCUAAUACAUGCAAGUCGAGCGAUGAGGCCCCUUCGGGGGUACAUCAGCGGCGGACGGGUGAGUGACACGUAGGUGACCUGCCCCGAAGACGGGGACAACCACUGGAAACGGUGGCUAAUACCCGAUGUGCUCGGUAAUUCGGUUUAUCGAGUAAAGCUCCGGCGCUUCGGGAUGGACCUGCGGCCUAUCAGCUAGUUGGUGGGGUAACGGCCCACCAAGGCUAAGACGGGUAGGGGGCGUGAGAGCGCGAUCCCCCACACUGGCACUGAGACACGGGCCAGACUCCUACGGGAGGCAGCAGUCGGGGAUAUUGCACAAUCGGCGAAAGCCGGAUGCAGCGACGCCGCGUGGGCGAUGAAGGCCUUCGGGUUGUAAAGCCCUUUUCUGGGGGAAGAGAAAGGACGUAC
rnacentral:rRNA from 1 species